rnacentral:rRNA from 1 species
AUGUUGGCCUCCAUCGGGCAGCCGCUCACCGACUCCAAGUUCAAUUCCUUCAUCGUCAAUGGCCUUGACGAGGAGUAUGAUGCCUUGGUCGAGAUCAUCAACGAGCGGGGCAACUCGACUCCCAUGAUGGCGCAUGAGGUCUUCUCCCGACUCGUCCUCACUGAGCAGCGAGUCGAGUCGCGUCGCUCCAAGAGCAGCCACGGGUCUCUCUCUGCAAACGCCGCCACCAAGGGUGGCCGCAACCCCUCUUCGUCCAAAGCUCUUGCGGGGCCAUCACCGCCGCCCGCCUCGGCCCCCCCUCCAUCCGCAACUUUACCAGGGGCUGGUGGUCGGCAUGUGUGCCAAAUUUGUGGCAUUGAGGGGCACUGGGCCUCUAAGUGUCAUAAACGCUUCCAGAAAAGCUUUCUUGGCCUCGGCAAUGAUGGCAAGGACAUGCGCAAUUUUGCGCGUCAGGUUGCCAUGGCAGACCACCCGGCGUCGACAAAGCAACAAGGGCACACUCAAUCAUACUCCAAUGACCCGUACUAG